rnacentral:tRNA from 1 species
GAAAACUUAGUUAAAUCAUAACAUUAACUUGUCAAGUUAAAAUUACUUCACAGUAGUUUUCU